GCGGUUGUGCAGGCACGCCAUCUUCCUGAGGAGCAGCGGCUCGAAGCCUUCUGUGAGCUGCCUUGUGAAAUCAGAGUUUCUCAUUGCUAUGUUCCUGACAGAAUCAUAGCAGAAAGGGAAAGAUAUCAGGAAAGGAUCGCUAUGUAUUGGAGGUCUCCAAAUUGCCUGAUGGGCUGUAGAUUGAUUUCUGUACCACAGGUACAUUUGCUCAUUUACAACCAUUCUCAGCAUUUUCAAAAAAGGAUGCCUAAAAGUGUGAUGGUAUCCGGAUGUAUGGAGCAUACAGUUCAGAGAAAAGCUUUCCUUCUGCCUUCUUUCUUCUCCACACUCCUUACCACUGUUGAUAAGAAAAUGAAGACAAGAUGAUCUCUUCUGUUUAUACAUGUUUUGUUGUAAGGCUUUUGCUUUGGGCUAAUUUCUUCCACUUGGCCGGCCAGCUUUUCUCCUGGGAUCUCUGAUAGUUGCUGUAGUGUUUGGCAGCCUGUGGCUCUGCAAGGUGUAAUGACUGGCUUCAAAUUUUCUGCUUUCUUCUGUCACUAUAAUACCUGGUGUUAGAAGUGCUGUUUACGAACUCCUUUUUUUCUUUUGAGAGGGAAUGACAGAUUACCAUUCAUCGCAUACACUUGUAAACAUUUCAACUGGAAGUAACCAGAAGAGUAGUGCAAUUAUUCCUUGUAGCUUUCUCCAGUAUUGCUCUUCGACAUUAUAGACAAACCAGCAUGAAUAUUCUUUUUUUCAUCUGAGCAAAAGCCAAUGCAGUUUUGUGUUAGGACUCCCAUCACGACCAAUUUCCUUUGCUGUCAGUCUACACCUUCUGUUUGUCAUUUCUUUCUUAGUAUGCUAUUUAAAAUAUGAAUGUUCUUUCUUUGCUGCAUAUACUGUGAAGUCUGCUUUGUACAAUGUGUCAAGUUUUUGUAUCUUACAUUUGCACUUAUUUAAGUUGGAUUUGAGCUGUCACAUUCAAAAUUUGCUAUAUUUCUAGUUCACAAAAUGCAUGUGGAAUUUUCCUGUGAUGGAGUGACUGUUGUGAACUGGGCUCUUUGGCAAAUAAUUUCAUGCUGAGGAACCAGAUGGACAGGCACCCAAGCAGAAUACCUCCUUGUUUAAAUCAAUAUGAACUGGAGGCCAUUUCUUGGUAAUUGAGUUAAUGAGGUCAGUGAGAACUUCUUACUAGGAAUAAUUUGAAUGAUUUUGUAUUCUUAUAAUCACUUGUUAUGAAUGUACAACCAGUGUGAUCAUUCCUGGCUAGCAACUCAGAGAUUUAAAUGUUGAAAUGGAUAUUUGUGAUGACACAGGAAGUCUUUGUGGAAUUCACAGUAUUUUCAAAAACUCAGAUCAUUAUUUUAGGUUCAUAGGAAUAGUAAUUUUUAAAAUUAUUUUUAAUUUGACUUUGUGUUUCUCAGGCGUUACUUAAUAAAAAAAAAACAACUGUGCCAAUUCUCAUCCUUAAACCAAAACCCAAAUCCUCUCUUCCUUGCUUCUGCUAUCUCAAAGGAGGUAGUAUGGAAAUACUUAGAAAUUUGGUUGGCAUUUAUGCUAUGAAUGAGAAUUUUGAAAACUGAUUGGGCUGAAUAUGGUUGCUUUUCCUCUGUAUUUUGUACUGAAUGUUGUUUUAUUCUCUACUCAGGUGUAACUUUGAUUUUAUCUUGCAUUUUAGUCUUGGAAAGAGUUUUAGCAUUAAAUGUGCAUAAGUGACAUUUGCCCCACAAAGAUGGUUGUUGUCAGGACAGACUGAAAAAGCAAACCAAAAGUAAAUCAAAAACUCCUCUAAAGAAAUGACUUUUUGUGGACAGCAUAAAUUAUAGUGAGAUAAUGGAAAUGUUACUUGAUGUAAACGCUACCUGAUCAAAAGUCAACACUUGUACAAAAUUAUUUUCCAGACAGCCUACUUGGGAAUUAUGUAGUAAUGUAGUGCACCUAUAAGAAUAUUGCUGAUUUUUAAGGGUGCUGUUGCAUUAAGAGUUAUUAUAUUCCUUUGAGAAAUUACUUAAGUAGUAUAACAAGUUUUCCACACAGGCUAUAUUUCUGCUACAUUUCUAAAACACACCUGUGAGAAUUAAGAGUUGGGCAGCUGUUGCUACUGAGCCUCAGGGUCACCUUCAGGCAGUGCACUUGUGAGGCUGGGAAUCAGCUACAGUUCAGAAAGAAAACCAAAGCCUUUUAUAACUAUAUGCUUUAGAUGGCCUGAACUCUUCUGGAAAACUCAUAGAGUGUAAGAUGACUCUAUAAGGGUCACCUAAUAGGAUUUCUAUACAAAUUAUUUCUUAGAGGAAUUUUCUCUGAUUCUCUAGUGUAAAAAAGAAAUUGCACAUUUAGACUCCUUAGCUUCCAGAAUACCUACUGCUCUUCCGUGGCACAGUUGAUACUGGAAUAUCUCCAGCAUGAGUGAGAAACUACAGGCAGUACAAAAAACACUAGCAAGAUUUUGUACAAUAUUCAGGCAACUUUAUUUCCAGUCAAUUGCUGCAAUUUUAACAUUAUUUGUGAUGUAUUAUUUUAGCCACUGUUUAGCAGCAGAAUAAAAAGACAGCCUGAUGUGAAUUUCAGAGUAACUUCUUGAAUUUUAGUUAAAUAGUAUUAUUUCCUUAAUUAUUUCUGGUAUCCUUAAAACUAGAGGUAACAUGAAAAUUGGUAUCUCUUGGCAUGUCAAAACCUCUGUCAGACCAAAUCAAAAGUACAAAUUCAAAAGAUUUUUGAGUGGAUAUUAAUAUUCUUCUGUAGCUAAGGCGUGCUGCUCAGGAUGAAGGCAUAAAGAAAUGAGAAGGUCAUUUCUGAUGGAAACUGUCUAUUCUAUUGAUGCCAACAUUAAAUAUCACUUUUGUAGCUAUGGAAAGUCAAGAACUCUUGUGAAGGUAUUUAUUUAGGGAAUUCCAUUGAAAUCAGACUUGUAGGAGAAAAUUGAAAGGCCCCUCAGCUGCCAAGCAGUACAUGAAGCCCUUCCCAAAAAUCAAGGUAAUAGAACAGAAAGCUUUUUUUUUUUUUUUUUUGCCUGCUUGUUUUAAACAAAUGGUGUUACAUGCUGCAAAUUUCCCUGUGGCUGGUGGCAGUAACUGAAGUUGAACCCAAACCUCAGUGCAUGUCAGUAGAUACAAUCUGCAUUUUGUUUAUAGUCAAUCAAUUUCCUCAGUUAUUGUUCUCUCCAGGCUAUAAUGAAGUAAAUCUUUCUACAUUUUUUUUUUUUUUAAAGCAACAAGUUAGAAGCCUGAUGUUGCUAAAUAGAACUGAUGGCCAUUAGAAGAAUGUACGAAUUAGAACAAGAAUCAGUUCAUACUGAAAACAAGAUUUAUUGUUUUAGGUGAAAGAAAUAUAAAUUAUUUAAUUGCCUCACAACAGCAUAAUUCCAUAAUAAUGCUUCAUAACAGCACAACAUCACACCAAGGCAGAAUGGAACGUUAUCAAGCUUGCUAACAUAUUAAGAGUUUAAAAACAAACAAGCAAAAGCAUUUGGAUUC